rnacentral:rRNA from 1 species
GACCUCGGAUCAGGUAGGGAUACCCGCUGAACUUAAGCAUAUCAAUAAGCGGAGGAAAAGAAACCAACAGGGAUUGCCUCAGUAACGGCGAGUGAAGCGGCAACAGCUCAAAUUUGAAAUCUGGCCCUUGGGUCCGAGUUGUAAUUUGCAGAGGAUGUUUCGGGCGUGGUCCGGUCUAAGUUCCUUGGAAUAGGACGUCAUAGAGGGUGAGAAUCCCGUAUGCGACUGGGUGCCUAAGCUCAUGUGAAACUCCUUCGACGAGUCGAGUUGUUUGGGAAUGCAGCUCUAAAUGGGUGGUAAAUUUCAUCUAAAGCUAAAUAUUGGUCAGAGACCGAUAGCGCACAAGUAGAGUGAUCGAAAGAUGAAAAGCACUUUGGAAAGAGAGUUAAAUAGCACGUGAAAUUGUUGAAAGGGAAGCGCUUGCAAUCAG